GGUGGAGUGUGGUGCGUGUGCAGCCUCCGGAGGCAUCUGCUCCUGGGUCCCUGAUUCUGAGUGUGAUCCGCUGCCUUCCUGCGUGUUUCCCUAUGACUGCCUGAGCGAACAUUCUAGAGCUCACUCGUGGCAAGACUGACUGCCUCAGUGGCAAGUUGCAGAGAAUGAGUGUGUUUUGUCCUUGCCCACAAGGCUUAUGAAGAGCUGUAAAGAGUUCCUCUGUGACUUGUGUAUCCCUUCUCUGUAUGUGUCUCUCAAACAUUCAUCAAGUGGCAGCCAGGGUCAAGAUACAAUGACAAGCGUGGCAGUCCAUACCCUCAGGGGUGUGGUGUCAUCAGGAAGGACUGUAUUGUCAACAAAUCACAGCAAAAAAUGGCAAAGCUGUGAUGAUUCAAGCUCGUAUAAAUUACUGAGAAGAGGGAAGCUAGGUAGAGUUCAGGUCCCUGAGGAAGUUGAGGAAGAUGGUACUUUUAGUCCAGGAAAUGAAGUUUGGGUGGGGUUUUCCAGAAAACAAAUGAGAUCAGGUUACUCAGGGCAGAGGAAACAGCAGGUGAAAAGACAAAAGCCUGCCCUGCUUGGAGAAUUGUUUAGUAGCUCAAUGUGGCUGGAGCAUCAUUUAGAGGGAUGGCGGUCAAGAGUGAAUGGGAUAAUUGAUUAUAAAGUUUAUAGAGAUGGAAAUAAUUGCUAAAAGGAAAAACAAAGCAACAAUGUGCAAAACAAAAUAAGGUCCCACCCCAUUCACUGAUCUGUGCUUUGACACUGCCUUUCUUUGAAAUUUUUUGAAAGAGAUGAAUCACCCAGAAUUUCUAAUGGUGGGAUUUUUAUUUUAAAGAUGGAUUUCUUUUUUCAGAGGAAAAUCAAACUGAGAUUAUCUGGGGUGUUUUAUCAACAGGAUUAAAAUUCUGGGUUUUACUGUAUGAUUUCACUCAUGUGGAAGAUAAACAAAUACAUGGACACAUGCCCCUCACCCCACCUGCUAUGGACUGAAUUCUAUCCCUCCAAAGAUGUUAUAGUCCUAACCUCUAGCACCUGUGGAUGAGACCAUAUUCGGAAGUAGAGUCUUUGAAGAAGAUCAAAUUAACAUGAGGUCAUUAGGACGGGCCCUUACCCAACACGACCAUCUCCUAAAAGGGGAAAAUUUGGAAACAGAUAUGCACACAGAAAGAACAUCAUGUGAACACGAAGGCAGAGAUUGGGAUGAUGCUUCUACAAACCAAGGAAUGCCAGAAAUUUCCAGCAACCACCAGAUGCUAAGAGAGAGGCUUGGAACAGUUUCUCCUUUACAACCCCCAGAGGGAACUAAACCUACUGACAUCUUGAUUUCAGACUUCUAGACUCCAGAACUGUGAGACAAUAAAUUUCCAUUGUUUAAGCCACUCAGUUUGUUGCCCUUUGUUACAGCAGCCCCAGGAAACUGACACAGUACCAGAUUUCGGAAGCAGCUUUGCUGCAGCCUGGGAUAGAUGGGAGAAAGGAGUGCCUGAGAGUGGGAUGCCUGCCUGAUGGGGAGAGAAUUUAAGAUAGAUGGGAAGUAUACAUGGAAAGCUCAGAGGAAUGGCACUCUAGAGGGUUCUGAGCUACAUAAGAUGACUAUCCAGAUCAGACCUGGCUCUUUGGUACUUUUCAAAGAAAACUGAUUUUAUGACAAUGCAACUGAAAGGGCUUUAGAUUGGAGAGUACUGUAGAACUCAAAUAAGUGCUUCUUCGGUAAUCAAAAUAAGUUCAUUCUUGAGUGAGGGAAUAUGUAUUUAAUGUAGCCAUCCAAGGAAAUCAUGCGACAUGGACUUUCAAAGCAUGUGCUUCACAAAAGAAAGGAAUGAUUAUCCGCUUCUUUCCUAAAAGUUGAAUAGCUGUCAUUUGUUCACACCGAGGAGGCUCUGCAAUGUGGCUUUAGACUGCUGUGCUUGUGGGUCAUACGGCAGCAUCUUCACGAAACAUGGAUGCAAAAUAAGCACUGUCUUAUGAUCCAUUUCAGUCCUCUAAAACUACAACAGAAGAGACAAAAGGAGUAAGAUGACCCUCCAAAGAAGUUAUCCCAAUAUGAAAUGUCUCUCCAUGGAGAUUUGCUGAAAAUCAAUAUAAACUCAGCGUACUGGACAUGAACUUGGACAGGCUAUUAAAAAGCCAAUUCUGUCAUUAAGUAUGUAUCUUUGGGCAAUGCUAUUCAAACUCUCUGUGUCCAGUUUCCUCAAAUGUAAAAUGAAUUUAAUAUUUAUAUCAUAGCAUUAUUGUGAGAAAUACGUAAUACACGGGAAAAUGCAUGAAACAGUUCCUGACAAUAUUGAAUGUUGGCAAAACAUUAUAUGCUCAUUCGAUUCUACAGGCAUUCAUUCAUUGAUUGCCUGGGAGACUGCUUAAUUGACUGCAUGAGUGAAUGACACAAAUCUAUGCUUAAACAGAAUUAUAAGAGCAGAAUGAAUAGAUGAUAACUCAACAACUAAGCUCUAGGCCAAAUUAAAUGUCAGGGGACUGUGAUGCUCUUUACCUCCUACUGGUCUCAGAUAAGGGGGUUGUUUCAUCAGGAUACAUCUCUAAGAGUGCAGAUGAUGCUAUGGUGAGAGGUUGUUCUACUGCACAUAAUUAAAUGAAACUAGGUAGAUGAACAGCAGGCCCAGAAAGGCUAUCAUGUGAUGCUUGGAAGCCAAGAAGGUCUAUGAUAUAACCUGAUAUAAUCCUGAGGUCCAGAAGGGUCUGGAGUGGUGGGAUCUAAAUAAUCGUGUUCAUUUUAAGAGGACAGUCCUGUCUUUAAGUAAAGGCCUUGGAUUGGGUCCUAUAUACAAUAAAUAGUGAGUAAAUAUUUAUGAAACAGACGAUAACGGUGUUCUUGGAAGACCCAUGACAGAGUCUUUAGGAACCAAUUUUAUUGGAUAAAAGAUGUUUUAGUUCAGCUUGGACUCUCCCAAUUUUACAGACUGCAUUAUCCCACAGAAAAAUCACAGUCUGGCUGCUUGGAAAUAAUCAGUAGUGACC
ensembl:lncRNA